GACGAACGCUGGCGGCGUGCUUAACACAUGCAAGUCGAACGGAAAGGCCCUGCUUUUGUGGGGUGCUCGAGUGGCGAACGGGUGAGUAACACGUGAGUAACCUGCCCUUGACUUUGGGAUAACUUCAGGAAACUGGGGCUAAUACCGGAUAGGAGCUCCUGCUGCAUGGUGGGGGUUGGAAAGUUUCGGCGGUUGGGGAUGGACUCGCGGCUUAUCAGCUUGUUGGUGGGGUAGUGGCUUACCAAGGCUUUGACGGGUAGCCGGCCUGAGAGGGUGACCGGCCACAUUGGGACUGAUAUACGGCCGAGACUCCUACGGGAGGCAGCAGUGGGGAAUAUUGCACGAUGGGCGGAAGCCUGAUGCAGCAACGCCGCGUGCGGGAUGACGGCCUUCGGGUUGUAAACCGCUUUCGCCUGUGACGAAGCGUGAGUGACGGUAAUGGGUAAAGAAGCACCGGCUAACUACGUG
rnacentral:rRNA from 1 species